CUCGCUCUGGUAAUGUUAACCUGCCUCCGCGCGAAAACGACAACCCCGGUCCCCGAACGCUUAUCAUCCGCCGGGCAGUGUAGUCACUUAUGUUCGCUAAAUCCGUUCAAGUUGAAUAAACAGUCCUCAGGUUGUGCUUUCAAUGUUCUCCCGCCACAGGUGAAACUUACAAAAUGUGUUGCCGUUGGUAACCUACCCCCUAGUUCCAAUGUGCUCUGGCUGUCGUUUCUGUAGCCCAUUAGUGCGAUUUGAAGAUGCUCCGCUCUUUUCAAGCGUGGUCUCUUGCUCUGUACGGAACAGGCAAAACGCUCGGUUGAUAAGCUAUCAUUCACCGGGAAACGGGAGCAGGAGAGAGAGAGAAAGAGAGCGAAACGGGAGCAGGAGAGAGAGAGAGAGCGAGAGGGCGCCCUCGCUAUGGUGGAUAGGCGGGAGGGACAUGCGCGCAGUGGGAGAUCGAGCAAGUAGGCAGAGAGAUUUGUUGACAGACAGACGGACGGGUUAAUGGAUGAAAGGACGGAUAGAAAGAUGGACAGGCAGGCCGGAAGGCGGUCGGACAGAUGGAUGGACGGACACAGACAGACAGACAGAGACAGGGUCCUCAGUCCUCGACCCCGUGGGACCUGAGCGUGAUAUGUGCAGCUGGUUACAUGCUAAGGAAAAUUAUCCAACACACCUCCAGGCUGUGU
rnacentral:lncRNA from 1 species